GACGAACGCUGGCGGCGUGCUUAACACAUGCAAGUCGAACGGAAAGGCCCUGCUUUUGUGGGGUGCUCGAGUGGCGAACGGGUGAGUAGCACGUGAGUAACCUGCCCUUGACUUUGGGAUAACUUCAGGAAACUGGGGCUAAUACCGGAUAGGAGCUCCUGCUGCAUGGUGGGGGUUGGAAAGUUUCGGCGGUUGGGGAUGGACUCGCGGCUUAUCAGCUUGUUGGUGGGGUAGUGGCUUACCAAGGCUUUGACGGGUAGCCGGCCUGAGAGGGUGACCGGCCACAUUGGGACUGAGAUACGGCCCAGACUCCUACGGGGGGCAGCAGUGGGGAAUAUUGCACAAUGGGCGGAAGCCUGAUGCAGCAACGCCGCGUGCGGGAUGACGGCCUUCGGGUUGUAAACCGCUUUCGCCUGUGACGAAGCGUGAGUGACGGUAAUGGGUAAAGAAGCACCGGCUAACUACGUG
rnacentral:rRNA from 1 species